UACAGAGGUCUCAAGCGUUGUUCGGAAUCACUGGGCGUAAAGGGCUCGUAGGUGGCUUUGUAAGUCGGAGGUGAAAUCCCACGGCUCAACCGUGGACACGCCUUCGAAACUGUGAAGCUUGAGGCUGGGAGAGGAGAUCGGAAUUCCUGGUGUAGCGGUGAAAUGCGUAGAUAUCGUGAGGAAUACCAGAGGCGAAGGCGGCUACCUGGACAAUUGCUGACGCUCAGGCACGAAAGCGUGGGGAGCAAAAGGG
rnacentral:rRNA from 1 species